rnacentral:piRNA from 1 species
UGACAAACGUUACGAUCGGGCUUACAUU